rfam:Lactobacillus mellifer strain Bin4 genomic scaffold Bin4_scaffold1, whole genome shotgun sequence.
GGUCCUAUGGUGUAGUUGGUUAUCACGCCUGCCUGUCACGCAGGAGAUCGCCGGUUCAAGUCCGGCUAGGACCG